GGGCAAAACCCUUCUUUACAAAACAUACAAAAAUUAGCCAGGCAUGGUGCCAUGCACCUGUAGUCCCAGCUACUCAUGUUGCCCUGGAGGCUGGCCUGACCAGGCUGGAUUCAUUCAAAGUUUAAGGCACUGGUCUCCCAAUGCCAUUUAUUAUAUAAAUCAUCUUUCCCAUGCUGAUCUUAAAUACCCCGAGAAUCACGGGUACUCAGUGUAACAUCAUAAUAGCAAAAAAUUAGGGACAAACACAAGUUCUAUCACUAUUGCAGAAUAAACUGAUACAGUUACAGAACGGUUUUUUAAAAACUUUUCUUACAGAAUAUUAGACCUUUGAUAUAGAUAUUUGUUUAAAUACAUGGAUUCAUAAGUAUGGAGUUAUCAUUCAAUCAAUGGAAAGCCACCAAAGGGUUUUGCAGUCAGGAGGCUUCAGGACACUUAAUGCUAGUUGUGACGUGUGGGGAAGGAGCCCUUUGUUGCUUAUGUGAAUGUGUAGGUAGGUCUACGAGUGAAAAAAUAGCCAAAAGAAUCAACUGCAUUUAUUUUGAGAUGAGAUCACAGGGGCAUUUGCUUUCUGUAUUAUACGUUUAUGUACAGUUGGAAUUACUAUAAUGACCAUUUGUUACUUUUGCAACCAGAAAAAAAAGGAUCUUUAAAAUCCAGACCAUUAAUUAAUAUCCCAACAUGAUAAUACCCUCUAACUCUCCUAAUGCCACAUGUCAGCACAUAAUAGCCAGGGGCAUGUUUGACCCAGCCUCUCAGUCCCACCUUCCAGGGCCAGGUCGGGAGAAUAAGAUGAACGUUUAUCCGACUGAGAAUGGGCCAGUGAGGGCCUUGCCCACAGCGCCAUCAUCCAGUGUCACUGCUGCUCGGCAGCACAUCCAUCCGUCUCCACUACAGUCUCACUUAUGUAUGUGCACAAAAAGAGACCGAUGCUGGUACUCCCAAAACAUGUUUUGUGGUUGCCCUGCAGGGUGCUGCCUCCGUGACCCACACAGGAUGGGCAGCUGGUGUAAAGAGCCACAGGCUCGGCGUGUGACAGCCUCCAUCUCCAGAAGGCCCUGGAUGCAGCCAGCAGUUGCCACUCUAUCAGCAUAUAGUGUAGGGCUGAGGAAAACAGCUUUUGGGGUUUUCUGUUUUUUUGUACCAAAAGUCCAUGGCCAUCAUGGGUGGUCCAGAGAUGCCAGGAGGCAUGAGAGGAGGUUGCCAAAGCCUCCACAGUGAAUGAGACUCAGGAGGGCACUAAUGCCUGCUGUAUUGCAAUUUGACAGAUUCUAGAAUCUUUUGUUAGAAGGAAUCCCAUUGAAAGUGGGCCUGUUUGCAAGUAACAGCAUAAAUGAGCUUACCUAAAAUCUAUAAAUGAGGGAUGUGUUUCCUCCGGAACUCAAGAGGCCUAAAGGAUGCUGGGAGGCUUAUUAGAACACUGUGGGUACUUAGAGGGUCAAUAAUAAUUUUUUGACAGUGUCAGGGAUGGAGCAUCCCUCGACUGACCAGAUAAUGGCCAGAAAUUGGUGGUGGAUCCCUGUACUAUGCCUGGGGCAGUGGCCCAUACUUUUUUGUUUUAGUUUAAUCCCACAUUCAUGCGGAAACACAAGCCCCAUCCUUUUCCGUGAGCUCCUUGUGAGUAAUGUCCUGAGUGUGUCAAAUGAAUGUGCUGAGAGAAGGGUGUCUUCAGGGUGAUGUUACACCUGUGCUCCUAGAGAAGGUCAGAUGCAGUUCAAAUCCUGCUUGCAGAUUGUGUAUGGUGGCAGAACUCUCCAGGUACCCCGUGGUAGCCAGACAAUGGUCUAUUGUGUUCCUUCGGGGGUGAAAGCAACCUGCGGCUGAGAUGCUGUUGAAAUACACACUGAACAGAACACAUUAGUCAAAUCUAUGACUGCAGAGUAUUUACCACUUGCUAAGUGGAUGGAGUCAGUAAUUUCAAUAACAUUGGGCCUUCACAGAUGGGGUCACAGCAUUCAGGUUGUAGUAAUUCACCGUGAGGCAUCAUUCAUUCUUUCCAAGCUUAAGAACAGACCAAAUUGGGCUGUGAAAUGGAGAAACAGUGGGGAUAAUCAUCCCUUCUCUAAAUAGAUCUUCCAUAAUGAGUUUCCGUCCUUGAAAGCCGUGUUUUAAUUCAUAUUGAUCAGUAUUAAAUAUUUUAACAGAGAAGGUCCAUGGAGUUCCAUGUUGUAAAGUCAAUUGUAAGUGCCAAAGAUAACUUAAUUUUGAUUAUUUUAAUUUGUUAUUUACAGGGUCACAGCAUCCAUGCCCACUAUGGAACAUUUUAGGGCCAUGUUAUGUUACGACCCUAGGCAGUUAGGCAAGGCACCAGGAAAAACACUUCCCAUACUCCUGCACCUAAAUGCCAGUUAUCAUCAUGUCUUACUUUGGUCAGUUAGAUCUAUUAACAGAGGCUUGGUGGGGCUCAGCAAAUGCAGCCCAGAGUGGCCCAGCUCAAAGCACAAGCUUGCCAGCAGGCAGCAGCACAGCUCAAAACACGGCAGAACCCGUUAGCAAGCCACAGCCAGAGAAGAAAAGCCCUAGUGGUGGUGGUCACCACCCAGACUCCCUGCUUGUUGUGCCAUUUGUCUUGCAGUUUCCCCCAAGGGAGGUGGCAUCAGCUCCCCCCACCAGAAAUUGGGUUUGGAUAUCCACUGUGGCACACACAAAAUGAUGUGUUCUAGAACCCCACAGGGUCAGCAUUCCUGGGUCAUCAGUGGUAGUGGCAGCUGGUCCUAGCGGUGCCGUGGUCCUAGCGGUGCCCACAUUAUCUGCCCUUGCAGUGGAAAAACUUGGAUGAAUGCGAGGUGUGCUGUAAAGGGGGAUAACUUCUCUGCUAUGGUACUUAUCCACGAGUCUUCCAUGAAGACUGUCACAUUCCCCCUGUGGAAGCCAAGAGGUGAGUGGGAUGCAGCCCCGCCUCGGGCACACAGCACUCCCCUCCAGAUGGAAAGGGCAGGACCUGUGAGCAUUGCAGACAAGGGUGUGAGGCAGGGCAGUCUGGUGCCAGAGACUCUGGGCCUCUCUUGGUCUCUGAGGCUGCCAGUGAGCCUCUUGGCUCCACACUGCUUCUGCCCCUGGAGGUGCCCUUCCCUAGGAUGUUAUUCCUUGGACAGCAGGGACUCCUGUCCAAGGGGAGGUGGGGACAGGAAAAGCCAGCUUAUGUUCUGUGCCUGCUCAGGAAAGACAGGAAGCACGGUUUGUCACAUAUUUCACCAUGGUCUCAUCAGGCUGAUGGAGGCCUGAGGUCCCUGCAGGUGAAAGCCCAGAUUCUGACACUCAAGCCCGGCAGCCUGGGUUCCUUUGUGCUCCCAGCAGCUCAGACAGGGAGAAGAGAGCCCACGCUUACUGUGACACCACCUUCCUCAGGCUGCCCACCUGCCGCUACCACUGAUGCGAGGGAAGGGUCAAUGCUGGAGACCCCACGUGGGGAUCUUGGACACUCUGGGAGGUAUCCCACCCUCAUGGCUGAGCCCAAACUUCCUGAGGGAAGACAGUGGCAGCCACAGGAAUGGUGGCCAUUUCCAGGGGCCUUGCCCUCUGUUCACCUUAUGUCCAACCUCUCAGGACGCUGUGGAGUUGCACCUUCUGCAGGAUGAAGAGGUCUUCAGGAAGCCAACAGUGUCAUCAUGUAUCUAAGAUCCUGGAGAGGCAGAUGCAGCCUCAGGACCAGCUGAUUCGCGAUUACGGUGAGCCCUUUCAGGAAGCAAUGUGGUUGGACCUGGUUAAGGAAAGGCUGAAUACGGAAGUGUACACGGUGGCAUGGUUUGUGCGGGACAUGCGCCUGAUCUUCCGCAACCAUGAAACAUUUCACAAGAUAUUUCUUGGGAGGUACGUAAGGAAGAUUUUCAUCUCCACCCAGCUUCCUUCCCUUCCUCCAUGCCAGGAGUUGGCAUGUUCACAAACCACAAACUGUAAACUGGUACCCAGUCACGGAGCUGCAGGGAGAAAGCGUUGACCAGAGAGCCACUCAGUGCCUGGCGUAUCCUUAGCCCUGGAGAACAGAGGGUCAUCCUUCAUCAGCUUCCGACUUUGGCAAGGCAGGACUUGACUUAGAGGCAGAAUUUGAAAAAGAUCUCAAAGACGUGCUUGGUUUUCACGAAGCCAGUGAAGGUGGUUUCUGAACUCUUCCUUUACCCUGUUCUGAAAAGACUGAAGCAUCCCAGCCUCAGGAUUCAGCUGAUGGGACCCUGGCUUGGACUGUUAAUUGCCUGUGAGUCUGGGAUAUAAUUGGCUGCCCUCAGGACUCAAGCCCAGACCCGUCAUAGGAUUAUCACACCCUCCACCACCUUUAUUCUUUCUUUUUACCUUUAAAAGGCUAUAUCCACACUAAAAAAACAAAAUUAGUACUUCCUUAAUACCAUCAGAUACCCUGUCAUAGUUCACAUUCUCUCCAUUGUCUCAGAAGUCUUUUUAGAGUUGAUUUGUUCAAAUCAGGAUCUAAACAAGUUGCACACAUUGCAUUUGGCUCACCGGUCUCUGUGUCUCUUUUAAGCUAUAAAUCGUCAUGUAUUUAUUGAAGAACUCAGGGUUUUGGUCCUAUUACAUUUUUUGCAAUCUGGAAUUUUCUAGUUGCAUUUUCUUAGUGGUAUAGUUCUCUCUUCCUCUCAUUUUUUGUAAGCUAGAAGUUAGAUCUAGAAGCUUGCUUUAACUCAGGUUUUAAGGGGUUUGCUUUGAUUUGGGGUUUUUUGGGCACAUGCAGGCUUCGCAGGGGGAAUUUAGUAUUAUUUUUUAUGUUAAGCUUGGCAGCAGGUGCAGGUGUUAUCAGCCUGAUCAUCUGUCACCUGACGGUUUUAGCAAUACCUAAAUCCGUGAUAUCAUCAGGGGUUGCAAAAU